UACGUAGGGGGCGAGCGUUGUCCGGAUUUAUUGGGCGUAAAGCGCGCGUAGGCGGUGUCGCAAGUCGGCCGUGAAAUCUCCAGGCUCAACUUGGAGGGGUCGGGCGAGACUGCGGCGCUGGAGGCAGGCAGAGGGCGGUGGAAUUCCGGGUGUAGUGGUGGAAUGCGUAGAGAUCCGGAGGAACACCAGUGGCGAAGGCGGUGAGCUGGGCAGUUGCUGACACUGAGGCGCGACAGCGUGGGGAGCAAACAGG
rnacentral:rRNA from 1 species